UACGUAGGGUGCGAGCGUUGUCCGGAAUUAUUGGGCGUAAAGAGCUCGUAGGCGGUGUGUCACGUCGGCCGUGAAAACCUGCAGCUUAACUGUGGGCGUGCGGUCGAUACGGGCAUCACUGGAGUUCGGCAGGGGAGACGUGGAAUUCCUGGUGUAGCGGUGAAAUGACGCAGAUAUCAGGAGGAACACCGGUGGCGAAGGCGGGUCUCUGGACCAGCACUGACACUGAGGCACGAAAGCGUGGGGAGCAAACAGG
rnacentral:rRNA from 1 species